UACGUAGGGUGCAAGCGUUAAUCGGAAUUACUGGGCGUAAAGCGUGCGCAGGCGGUUUUGUACGUCUGACGUGAAAGCCCCGGGCUCAACCUGGGAAUUGCGUUGGAGACUGCAAGGCUUGAAUCUGGCAGAGGGGGGUAGAAUUCCACGUGUAGCAGUGAAAUGCGUAGAGAUGUGGAGGAACACCGAUGGCGAAGGCAGCCCCCUGGGUCAAGAUUGACGCUCAUGCACGAAAGCGUGGGGAGCAAACAGG
rnacentral:rRNA from 1 species